UCGGGUCCAUGCUCUGCCUCCUCUACAGCCGCGUCGGGGCCGCGUCGGGGCUCCUCCUCUACGGCCGCGGCGGGACUCAGGUCCGGGCUCUUCUGAACCGACCGAUACAUGGUCGACGCUAAGGUCAGACAGGUUCAACCCACUCUCCAUCAGCGCUGUCUGGUACACCAGCCUCUUUCUGCACGCACAUACACAUCAUGUUCUGAUGUUCAGCAGAAAAAAUAUACAUGAAUAAAUUAUUUUUACUAUGUUGCAAAUAUAGAAGCUAGAUUAAUAACUGGCGAUGCUGCAAUAAAUUAUUCAUAGUUCCAUUUACAAACAAAGGAUUCUUUUGUAUGGCAACUACUAAAGAGAUGAAACUACAAACUAGAUUUUAUAAACUAGAUGACCAGAUUAUUAUAAUCUCAUAAUCUCCUCUACCCCAGUUAAAAUGAGAUUAUGGAUUACAAAUGACGUGUUAUCCUUGUAAACUUCAAGAGAAUUACGCAGUGUCACCGCCACUUUCCUAUUUUUCCUUAUAAACUGAGGGCAAACAUGUCAUUGUACAAUUUAAAAGCUGGUUUACAAUUUAUAUAAUCUGGCCUCCAAACAUGCCCACCUGGAUUAUUUUUAUAAACCAGAUUAUAUAAUCUAUGUUCAUAAUCCAGAUUAUUAUAAUCUAUUAUGGUUCCAAACAGGGCCUAAAGAGAUGAAACUACAGACAUGUUGUAUGCUCAAAAGAACAUGAGCAGAAACCAUGUUAAAGUAUGGGUUCCCUUUAUACCAGCAGUCUAGAACCAUCUGCUUCCUCCGGCCUGCCUUCCAACAUGUCACGUUGUCGUCCACGUAGGUUGGUCCAAAAAGACUGAAUAUAGAUUCUGGUAAUAAGUUUGCAAUGCACCAGUUUUUUUGCUUCAAGGUACCUAAGGUAUGAAUUCUGAUAUGCAGGGGUGGGCAGAUAUCCUCUUUAAAAAUAAAAAAAAUCGGGCCGACUCCAAAUGUCAAACUGAUAGUUGCGCUUAAGAUUUAGGGAGUGGUUACCGAGAUUGGUGAUAAUUUUCUGUUCACACUCCAGCCUGAGGCAAGUCCAAUGAAGGCUCAAUGCUUCAAGCCCGUUCAAAUGCCUUGUAUGAUCAAUUACUUAUCACCUGAUUGUCUAUAAACUUAAAGAUCAAACUAUUAGUUACCUUCCAGUUAUUAAAAAAAAACAAGCAGAAAACCAACUUAACUUGAAAGAGAGACAUAUCCAUAUGCAGUGCCAUGAUAACACAGUGUAACCAACAAAUAUUUAUUAACUUAGACAUUGUUAAAUAUUUUCUGUUCACAUGAAGCAUUUGUUGCCAAAUUAUGCAGCUACAAUAGUUGAAAAGGAACUAAAACACGACUAUCAAUUGCUCCAACUUAGAAAUUAGAGGUACACGGUACUAUAUUGUCCGUUAGCAUUAUGUUCAACAUAUAACAAAUUAGGAAAAGGAGGAAUAGUGUGUAUUACACAGGAAAAGGAGGAAUAGUGUGGAAAAGGAGGAAUAGUUGGAGAUUAAAAAUCAUAAUUUAUCAUGCUUUAAAGUUUGAUUCAGAAAUUUGCUGAGAAUGAAAAGUAGCAACAGAAAGAACUCAGCUUUUCCCAGCAACCAUGGACAAGAACCUAAACCAACAGAAAAAUUCUUUGCUGGUAAUUAAUUACUAAGUCCGAGGAAAUCCAAGCUGGCAGUGCAAUGGUACAAGGUGCGUAAAUGUACAAACGAGAAAUGAGGGACGCCAAGUACUAGUUCGGCUGCAAUAUAGGGAUACUAUACACAACAGAGAAUGAACAUUUCCUGUAAUGAUAGUGUUGCCAGCAGGAUUGAUUUUAAGGGAAGUAAUAUACUGUGAAUGAGACGUGUUAGUGUUCUUCUCAGUGUUCACUUCUACAAAUUUCAGUAAGAAACUUAAAUUAAACCAACAGAAAAAUUCUUUGCUGGUAAUUUAGUUACGAAGUCCGAGGAAAUCCAAGCUGGCAGUGCAAUGGUACAAGGUGCGUAAAUGUACAAACGAGAGAUGAGGGACGCCAAGUAUUAGUUCGGCUGCAAUAUAGGGAUACUAUACACAACAGAGAAUGAACAUUUCCUGUAAUGAUAGUGUUGCCAGCGGGAUUGAUUUUAAGGGAAGUAAUAUACUGUGAAUGAGACAUGUUAGUGUUCUUCUCAGUGUUCACUUCUACAAAUUUCAGUAAGAAACUUAAAUUAAAUUAUAUAUACCGAACAGUGCAUGCCAAAAGCUAACGAACUUAAUGGACCAACAAAUGCGAGUAGGAGAGACAUGUUUCAGAAUUAAUGACGGCUGCCUUGCAGCUCCUAGAAACAAUAUAAACUGGUAUAUGUAGUACCAAAUAUUGAUAGUAAUGUCCACAACAAUUAUUCCAACAUAUGGGAAGGAUAUUUCCUUGUCUCCCAUUAUGAUCAACUCCAAACAGACUCUAAUAUCUAUAUUGAUUUAAACCGGUCAUUGAAGCACUCAACCCGCAAUUGCACAUAGCUGCUGACUUCAACUAAUUAUUCAAGGUGAUGCUAAUAGUAAGAGAUGUGUGAAUAUCAAAAUUAUAACUUUUUUUUGUAUUCACAUAACACAUUUGCUGAUUUAGAUUCAAAAAUUCUGGAAAUCACAAUAUCAUAAACACUAAAUCCCACAUUUAACAAGUCUAUUGACAGUGUUAUAACUUGAGGUCUACAAACUGAUGCAACAUUAACUCCGAGUGAAAAUAUAUAUUUAAAAAUAUUUUAGAACCAAAUUCCUAAAUAAAUUGUUAUUGAACAGAAGUGUUACAUAGCUUUGAUGAACUAAAUAAAUACAUUGUCAUGGUGUCAAUUUCUAAUGGAAGUCCAUAUACAACUCAUCCUUGCGGUGAUUUUUGGAAAAGAAAAUCAUAAUAUAUGUCGAAAGUUAUACUGCUGGUGAAAUUAAAUUGGGAUUUACAACAUGAAAAAAUGCAUCUAACUUUAAAACCAGUAGUGCGACAUCUCUCAACAGCAACUUAGGAGCCUAUGUCUUAGAACAAUUUAAUCCGGCUAGGAGGCCAAAUUAAUGACACUGGAUUCAGCAGAAACAUGCAUGGAUACUGUGAACUUUUAUGUACCCGUUUGACGCUGGAUUCAACAUGGUCAUGCAACGAUAUGGGGAAGAGUUGCUGAGGCAGAGACGAUGAUGCCCGGUGUACUCUCCGGGGCCGGAGUUACCUGCCGAGGCAGAGAUGACGAUGCCCUUCUUCACUGCACCGAAGGCGCCGAUGGCGAUGGAGUCCUCGUAGAAGGCAGGGGCGUAACCACCGGAGACGACGGAGAGGGAGAUGACGUUGACGCCGUGACUAUGAAUGUGCUAGGAACCACCUAUGGGAUUCCUUGCAUGCUCGUAUCAAGGCCCGGGUAUCUAACUAUGUCUGCUAAAGCGCACGGGUAUUUAACUAUGUCUGUAGAUGCAGUUUUUUUGUUUCAGACGUAGGGCUGUUAGUUUGUCAGUCAAAGUUCAGUUUGAUCGAAGGAAUUAGACAAGUUCAUUUAUCUGCAAUACACACAAAAACUUGACUGUGAGUAGGAGGCUAGAACCUUCUGAUGCAAUGCUGGUACAAUGGCACCCCGUCGAACACGCCAGACCUCCCCAUCAGCCAGGAUCAGACCUGUGCCCAUCACAAACUCUGGUAUUUCGGCAAGGAUACCCUGCACCCACCAUGAUCAAACCAGGACUGAAUAAAACAUCAUGCUACUCGUUUCUGAUGCCUUUUGAAUCAUUUCUUUACUGUUUGAAAAUGAGUAGAACCGAAUUCAGAACCAACCUUGGAAUAAGCCUUGGAGUUGUCCCUCAGGAUAUGCUUAGCUACAUCCGGAUCAGAGACGAUGAGGAAAGACUGGAGAAAGAAGAUGAUGAUGAAAAAAAAUGUACAGACCAUUAGCAACAUGACAGGGUUCAGAAGACUGCAGUUUUGGGGGCAAUUCGCUAGCUUGAUGGUGCGGUCACCUUGGGCCCGAAGUUGAGGCGGAAGACGCCGCCGUAGGUGAGGAAGAGGUCGUAGAACGGCAGGAAGAAGGCCUCCCCGGUGACGGAAGCCAGCGACCCGACCAACUGCGGCAGCUCCGGGCCCCUGCGCGCCGCCCGCUACCUUGGCGAGCAUCCCGGCCGCGAGCUCCCCGGGCGGGCCCAGCUUGACCAGCCUCGCCGCGACGGGCGCGAGCCAUCUGAACGGAACAAUUCAAGCACGGCGCCUAAUCCAAUCAGCGCCGGAGCUGCAGGAGGAGCAAGAAAUGCGUGGAGAGGAGGAUAAGGGAUUGGCCGGGGAACUGACUGACUGACCCGGGGCCCUGGGCGGUGAACUCGUCGGAGGAAAUGCGGGCGGUGAGCUCGGCCCGGCGCUUCCUCUGCUCCUCAAGAACCUUGUCGGUCCUGCCGCCGCCGUCACCGCCGGACGCGGAGCAGUGGAGGAGCGGGCUAUUACGCUGGUUGGCAACGGGGGCGAGGCGGAGCCGGCCCUGGCCGAGCCGGAGCCAAGGUAGCGGGACGGCGGGGCGGAGGAUGCGUUGCCACACCAUUCGUCUCUCUAUGUGAGAGUGGAUGGGGAAUGGUGGAGGUGCGGAAUGGGCACGGAGAUUCGAGAAAACUACAGAGUGAGAGUGGAUCUUAGUCCACACCACUCCACACCACCGCUGAACUUCAGUCCAAAUGCAGCUAGCUAAGCAACGAAAAUUGAUUUCUGAGCAACGGAGCACUUUAUUUUGAAGUUCAAAAAACCACAUCUUUACAUUUUAAAAAAAAAGUGUGCAUGAACAUAUAGCAAUGCAGUAUAUCGGGCCAAAUUUUCGGCAAUAUACAUGCUUGCAUGUAAAAGAUACAAAAGAACAAAAUACAUGAAAAUUAGGGGUUUGUUUUUUGUGUUGUGGGGCAGAAAUUUUGUUUCUUUUGUGCAGCACAUAAUACAAUGUAUUAUUGAACAAAAUUUCACAUGUACUUAGGCCACAUGCAUGCGUAUUUAUAUAAAAAAUAUUUUUUCCAGAUGUUUCAAGCAUCUUUUUGGAGCAGUUCAAAAUAAAGUGCACCGUUGCCUCAUGUUCGAAAUAUGCAAUGAUUGCAAAGUUUAUAUAUACUAUGCAUGUAUAUUGUACUUUUGUUGAUUAGUAUGUUUUCUUUUUCCGUAUUGUCAAUGUGUUGCUUCCAAAUUUAUAUGUGACACAUUUGUUUAAAUUGUAUAAGAUGGUGCCAAUUAAUCUUAGAUGUCAACGGACAUUUGCAAACUUCACAAAAAAACCAGUGCAACCUACGUAAGUUUAAUAUGUUUUCUCAUAUUUAAAAGAAAAUGAAAAAAAUGUUAUCUAAUCUAAUGUAUUUGUUACAGAUUCAUAGACUUUGAUGACCUCACCUUUUCGGAUACAUUCAGAACAUGUAGCAUUUGCGUGAGGGUAGAUGUCAAAUAUCCUGUUAAUCCGAGUGGUGAUAGACUUCACUUCAUUCUGAUGGAUAGAACUAUAAGUCUCAAGCAUGUUUAGAUUGGUAGAAUAAACAUGUGUUUGUCAUCAUCUAACAUUUUCUGAUGCAAUUCUAAGGGUGUCAAAAUCGAGGUUAUAGUUGCCGGAAAAUUAGUGCAUAGAUUCGAUUUAAAAUUGCACAUGGGUCGUAAGUACACCAUUCAUGGUGUUACUAUUCGGCCUAACUUUAAAGAACUGGCGUGUAGAUUCAUUAACCACACAUAUGAGUGCUCCUUCAGUGUGAGGACAUUUGUUGAGUCACUCUCACUAUAAUUUCCAACAUAUCCAAAGCAUUUGAUGUCCAUCCAUGAAGUUAUGAGGUGUCCAAACAAAACAUUCGUAGGUAUGCAUUCAAACAUAUAUAAUACUAACACAGAGAUAACCUUUGUAUAUCAAUUUGACUAAUGAUAUUUAAUAGAGACAUAGUUGGCAUAGUUGUUCAAUAUGAUGAUUAUCAACUCAUCGGGAGACACCCAUCUACUGAAUUGUACAGAGAGGUCACCUUCAUGGAUAUUUGAUAUGUGUAGUUAAUAUACAUAAUUGCAACUCUUUUGUACCGAAUUAUAAGAAUUAAUUCGUGAAUUCCUUGUAUAGAUACUAUUUUCAAAUAUUCAAAAUUGUAGGGGCAAACUUAUAGUUGUUGGCAUUUCGGGUGGCAACUUGAUUCAAAACUCAUAUAGGUGGUCAACAACUGAAGGAAAUAAAUCUAUUGUCCUUGCAACUAUGCUCCGUAAGAAUAGAAAAUAUGGUAAUGGAUGCAUGUACAUCUUUAUGUAUUGCAUAUUUUGAGAAAGUGUAUUGUUAUGUCGAGCUAAAUAUUUUGACAAAGUGCACUGUUAUGUCGAGCUAAAUAGUUUUUUAAUCUUGACAAUAGGAAAUUUGGAAACUUCAAGUUACACCAUCCUUGCAUUUAACCCGGGUCAUCCUUCAACACGUGCACUUCAUGGUAGUUCUGACAUAUAAUCAAAUACAAGUCAAUUACUUGUGAUUAUUAUUGAUAUGUGCAUGCAAAUUUUAAAUACUAAUAAUUGCAACAUUUCUAAUAAUUGUUUUGCAGAUAUUCGCCAGAAAAUAAUAGGUGGUUGAUUGACAUGGAGUUUGUUCGAGAAUUUAUUGAGAGGAGGUGGGAUUUGCUAGCAAGCAGUCCGUCUACAAAUGAUCCCGACGCAAGAUGUAUACAAAGAAAACUCGACCCAUGUAGUAG
rnacentral:lncRNA from 1 species